AUGUCAGCCAAAGAGUCUGCUUGCCUUAAUAUGUAUUCGCAGAAAUUUAACUAAAGAUGGUAAUAAUAGUUCCAUGAUACAAGCCUUAAGGACAAACAAAGUCACUGAGGUCCCCAAGAAUGGCUACAACA